rnacentral:rRNA from 1 species
AGCCCAGAGCCUGAAUCAGUGUGUGUGUUAGUGGAAGCGUCUGGAAAGGCGCGCGAUACAGGGUGACAGCCCCGUACACAAAAAUGCACAUGCUGUGAGCUCGAUGAGUAGGGCGGGACACGUGGUAUCCUGUCUGAAUAUGGGGGGACCAUCCUCCAAGGCUAAAUACUCCUGACUGACCGAUAGUGAACCAGUACCGUGAGGGAAAGGCGAAAAGAACCCCGGCGAGGGGAGUGAAAAAGAACCUGAAACCGUGUACGUACAAGCAGUGGGAGCACAGAGCAAUCUGUGUGACUGCGUACCUUUUGUAUAAUGGGUCAGCGACUUAUAUUCUGUAGCAAGGUUAACCGAAUAGGGGAGCCGAAGGGAAACCGAGUCUUAACUGGGCGUUAAGUUGCAGGGUAUAGACCCGAAACCCGGUGAUCUAGCCAUGGGCAGGUUGAAGGUUGGGUAACACUAACUGGAGGACCGAACCGACUAAUGUUGAAAAAUUAGCGGAUGACUUGUGGCUGGGGGUGAAAGGCCAAUCAAACCGGGAGAUAGCUGGUUCUCCCCGAAAGCUAUUUAGGUAGCGCCUCGUGAAUUCAUCUCCGGGGGUAGAGCACUGUUUCGGCAAGGGGGUCAUCCCGACUUACCAACCCGAUGCAAACUGCGAAUACCGGAGAAUGUUAUCACGGGAGACACACGGCGGGUGCUAACGUCCGUCGUGAAGAGGGAAACAACCCAGACCGCCAGCUAAGGUCCCAAAGUCAUGGUUAAGUGGGAAACGAUGUGGGAAGGCCCAGACAGCCAGGAUGUUGGCUUAGAAGCAGCCAUCAUUUAAAGAAAGCGUAAUAGCUCACUGGUCGAGUCGGCCUGCGCGGAAGAUGUAACGGGGCUAAACCAUGCACCGAAGCUGCGGCAGCGACGCUUAUGCGUUGUUGGGUAGGGGAGCGUUCUGUAAGCCUGUGAAGGUGUACUGUGAGGUAUGCUGGAGGUAUCAGAAGUGCGAAUGCUGACAUAAGUAACGAUAAAGCGGGUGAAAAGCCCGCUCGCCGGAAGACCAAGGGUUCCUGUCCAACGUUAAUCGGGGCAGGGUGAGUCGACCCCUAAGGCGAGGCCGAAAGGCGUAGUCGAUGGGAAACAGGUUAAUAUUCCUGUACUUGGUGUUACUGCGAAGGGGGGACGGAGAAGGCUAUGUUGGCCGGGCGACGGUUGUCCCGGUUUAAGCGUGUAGGCUGGUUUUCCAGGCAAAUCCGGAAAAUCAAGGCUGAGGCGUGAUGACGAGGCACUACGGUGCUGAAGCAACAAAUGCCCUGCUUCCAGGAAAAGCCUCUAAGCAUCAGGUAACAUCAAAUCGUACCCCAAACCGACACAGGUGGUCAGGUAGAGAAUACCAAGGCGCUUGAGAGAACUCGGGUGAAGGAACUAGGCAAAAUGGUGCCGUAACUUCGGGAGAAGGCACGCUGAUAUGUAGGUGAAGUCCCUCGCGGAUGGAGCUGAAAUCAGUCGAAGAUACCAGCUGGCUGCAACUGUUUAUUAAAAACACAGCACUGUGCAAACACGAAAGUGGACGUAUACGGUGUGACGCCUGCCCGGUGCCGGAAGGUUAAUUGAUGGGGUUAGCGCAAGCGAAGCUCUUGAUCGAAGCCCCGGUAAACGGCGGCCGUAACUAUAACGGUCCUAAGGUAGCGAAAUUCCUUGUCGGGUAAGUUCCGACCUGCACGAAUGGCGUAAUGAUGGCCAGGCUGUCUCCACCCGAGACUCAGUGAAAUUGAACUCGCUGUGAAGAUGCAGUGUACCCGCGGCAAGACGGAAAGACCCCGUGAACCUUUACUAUAGCUUGACACUGAACAUUGAGCCUUGAUGUGUAGGAUAGGUGGGAGGCUUUGAAGUGUGGACGCCAGUCUGCAUGGAGCCGACCUUGAAAUACCACCCUUUAAUGUUUGAUGUUCUAACGUUGACCCGUAAUCCGGGUUGCGGACAGUGUCUGGUGGGUAGUUUGACUGGGGCGGUCUCCUCCUAAAGAGUAACGGAGGAGCACGAAGGUUGGCUAAUCCUGGUCGGACAUCAGGAGGUUAGUGCAAUGGCAUAAGCCAGCUUGACUGCGAGCGUGACGGCGCGAGCAGGUGCGAAAGCAGGUCAUAGUGAUCCGGUGGUUCUGAAUGGAAGGGCCAUCGCUCAACGGAUAAAAGGUACUCCGGGGAUAACAGGCUGAUACCGCCCAAGAGUUCAUAUCGACGGCGGUGUUUGGCACCUCGAUGUCGGCUCAUCACAUCCUGGGGCUGAAGUAGGUCCCAAGGGUAUGGCUGUUCGCCAUUUAAAGUGGUACGCGAGCUGGGUUUAGAACGUCGUGAGACAGUUCGGUCCCUAUCUGCCGUGGGCGCUGGAGAACUGAGGGGGGCUGCUCCUAGUACGAGAGGACCGGAGUGGACGCAUCACUGGUGUUCGGGUUGUCAUGCCAAUGGCACUGCCCGGUAGCUAAAUGCGGAAGAGAUAAGUGCUGAAAGCAUCUAAGCACGAAACUUGCCCCGAGAUGAGUUCUCCCUGAC